rnacentral:rRNA from 1 species
AGAGCGAACGCUGGCGGCAGGCCUAAAACAUGCAAGUCGAACGAGCCCUUCGGGGUUAGUGGCGGACGGGUGAGUAACACGUGGGAACGUGCCUUUUGGUUCGGAACAACUCAGGGAAACUUGAGCUAAUACCGAAUGUGCCCUUCGGGGGAAAGAUUUAUCGCCAUUAGAGCGGCCCGCGUCUGAUUAGCUAGUUGGUGAGGUAAAGGCUCACCAAGGCUUCGAUCAGUAGCUGGUCUGAGAGGAUGAUCAGCCACACUGGGACUGAGACACGGCCCAGACUCCUACGGGGGGCAGCAGUGAGGAAUUUUCGUCAAUGGGGGAAACCCUGAACGAGCAACGCCGCGUGCAGGAAGACACUUUUCGGAGCGUAAACUGCUUUUCUCGGGGACGAGGUAAGGACGGUACCCGAGGAAUCAGCCCCAGCUAACUACGUGCCAGCAGCCGC